CGGUUCGAGUCCGCUUACCUCCACUGAUCAACUACCUGAUAACUCACUUUGGAGAUUGUUAUUUGGUUAAUGUGAUUUAGACGUUGUUCAUCUGAAUGAACCUAGCUUCCUAUCAAUCCUUAAUUAUUUAAUUGGCUGAUAAGACGCUGGGCUCACUGAUACUCUUAGGAUUAUCAGUUUGAUUCAGCA
rnacentral:misc_RNA from 1 species